CGGCAACAGCUCAAAUUUGAAAUCUGGCCUUUGGCCCGAGUUGUAAUUUGUAGAGGAUGCUUUUGGUGCGGUGCCUUCCGAGUUCCCUGGAACGGGACGCCUUAGAGGGUGAGAGUCCCGUCUUGGACCGCGGUAGGGCUCGUGUAAAACUCCUUCGAC
rnacentral:rRNA from 1 species